CCUGCCCAUUGAAUAAUAUUUAAAAGGCCGCGGUAUAUUAACUGUGCAAAGGUAGCAUAAUCAUUAGUUUUUUAAUUGAAGGCUUGUAUGAAGGGUUGGACAAAGAAUAAUCUGUUUCUAUUUUUAUUUUUGAAUUUUACUUUUAAGUGAAAAGGCUUAAAUAUUUUUAAGGGACGAUAAGACCCUAUAAAUCUUUAUAUUAAAUUAAUUCUAAUUAGUUAAUAUUGUAAAGUUAAAUAGUAAUAUAAUAAGUAUUAUAUUGGGGUGAUAAGAAUAUAAUAAUUAACUGUUCUAAAUUAAAAACAAAUUUAUUUGAAAUUAAUAAUAGAUCCUUAAAAAAGAUUAAAAGUUCAAGUUACUUUAGGGAUAACAGCGUUAUUUUUUUUGAGAGUUCUUAUCGAAAAAAAAGUUUGCGACCUCGAUGUUGAAUUAAAAUUUCUUUAUAAUGCAGUAGUUAUAAUAGAAAGUCUGUUCGACUUUUAAAGGAGCUUGAGCA
rnacentral:rRNA from 1 species